UCUUCUUCUUAAAAAUUCGCUUCUUUAGGGGCCAUUUCCAUACCCGGAAGGAGGAGCUAAAAUCAGAUGAGGGGUUACGUGGUUCUGCAUCAUCAGCAACAUCAAGGGCGUUGAUGAUCCGAGAAAGUCCUCGUUUACCUCCAACUGUGGUAGUGUUGCUCGCGGAAGGCAUCCGGAUUUGUCAAGCCUCAACUGAAUCGCACUGCCGGAAGUGGAAACUUGGUCCCCAAGCGGUGAAGAUGAAGGAUUCAAUCUGCUUCCGCAUUCACGAUACCGAAACAUUUUCUCCAUUGGAGCUCCUCCUUCCUCCUUCCUCCUCGUCUUCGUGUUAUCUCUUCGACAACGAGCUCCAGCCACUCUUCAAAUACCAUGUUCUCUUAGAUUUGUAUAGGUGACCACAAGGGGAUCAUCUUUUCGAGAUCGAGCUCCAGCUACUCUGCAGAUACGUGACUACAAGGACAGCCAUUGGAAUUCACAUCUUGCAUAUCUUCUUCACCUAUUUCAAGUUUUGAAAACCCAUCCAAGGUUGGGUUUUUUGUGGGGAGAACACUUGGCCAGUGGGAAAAGGGGGCUCACUUGAGGGAGAGAUACAGAGGUAUGGAUUGUCUCCAAAUUUUGGCGGGCCAUCGCCCUCGUCCUCCUACAAUGAAGAAGAUGAUGUCGAUUAUUGUGGGGCUUGCGAUGGGGAUUAUGUUCGUGGUUUGGGUGUCCACUUAUUCUCCCAGUCGCACUGCCGCCUGCUUGUCUCCUUCCAUCAAUUGCCUUCGCAAUCCACAUUGGCAUCCUGCAAGGGAGUACACUGAUGAAGAGAGGGCAUCACUUGUUGUGACCAAGGAGAUACUAAACACAGUUCCCCUUAAAUCAAAGAAUCAGAAAGUUGCAUUUAUGUUCUUGAAUCCUGGCUCGCUUCCUUUUGAGAAGCUCUGGGAUAAGUUUUUCCAGAAGCUCUGGAAUAAGUCGCUGCCGAACACCGCCGCAGGACCGCCACCCACAGCUCACCGGCUACCGCCCCCUCCCUCGGCCAAUGGGCUGUGGGUGGCAA